rnacentral:rRNA from 1 species
ACGGGUUCUGAGGAGGAAGGUCCCCACAUUGGGAACUGAGACACGGUCCCAAACUCCUACGGGAGGCAGCAG